GGAUUGUGGCUCAGUGGCAGAGCACUUGCCUAGCAUGCUUGAGGCCCUGGGUUCGAUCCUCUGCACCA
rnacentral:tRNA from 1 species